rnacentral:rRNA from 1 species
GACGAACGCUGGCGGCGUGCUUAACACAUGCAAGUCGAACGGAAAGGCCCUGCCUUUGUGGGGUGCUCGAGUGGCGAACGGGUGAGUAACACGUGAGUAACCUGCCCUUGACUUUGGGAUAACUUCAGGAAACUGGGGCUAAUACCGGAUAGGAGCUCCUGCUGCAUGGUGGGGGUUGGAAAGUUUCGGCGGUUGGGGUUGGACUUGCGGCUUAUCAGCUUGUUGGUGGGGUAGUGGCUUACCAAGGCUUUGACGGGUAGCCGGCCUGGGAGGGUGACCGGCCACAGUGGGACUGAGAUACGGCCCAGACUCCUACGGGAGGCAGCAGUGGGGAAUAGUGCACAAUGGGCGGAAGCCUGAUGCAGCAACGCCGCGUGCGGGAUGACGGCCUUCGGGUUGUAACCCGCUUUCGCCUGUGACGAAGCGUGAGUGACGGUAAUGGAUAAAGAAGCACCGGCUAACUACGUG